rnacentral:misc_RNA from 1 species
CCUCAGGUUAUGGCUUCCCAGAUUCUCUUUUAAAUAAGUGUAUUCACUCUCUCAGACCCUUCAUGCUCCCUAGCAUCUCUCUCAAGCUGUGGUUUCACUGAGCUACACUGGAAUUUCCUCUUCUCGGUAUUUCACAGUUCACAUCUACCUUCUUUUAUUCUUUAACUUUCAUUAAAUUCUGAUUUGAUCUCUUGAUUGUUUCCUGUUGCCG